rnacentral:rRNA from 1 species
UACGUAGGCAGCAAGCGUUGUUCGGAGUUACUGGGCGUAAAGGGUGUGUAGGCGGUCUUCUAAGUUUGGUGUGAAAUCUCCCGGCUCAACUGGGAGGGUGCGCCGAAAACUGGGAGGCUAGAGUGCGGGAUGGGAGAGUGGAAUUCCUGGUGUAGCGGUGAAAUGCGCAGAUAUCAGGAAGAACACCCGUGGCGAAGGCGGCUCUCUGGGACGGGUACUGACGCUGAGACGCGAAAGCGUGGGGAGCGAACAGG